UUGAUGCCGAGACGCUUGAACUUCUCAGGAACAGGCUAGACUGGUAUAUCCUGCAAACGAGAGAAGCCUAUUUCAGAGGUUUGAACACAUUAGCACAACAACUC
rnacentral:pre_miRNA from 1 species